rnacentral:rRNA from 1 species
GAUGAACGCUGGCGGCGUGCUUAACACAUGCAAGUCGAACGAGCGAGUUCCCUUCGGGGAAUGAGCGAGUGGCGGACGGGUGAGUAACGCGUGGGUAACCUGCCUCAUACAGGGGGAUAACAGUCAGAAAUGACUGCUAAUACCGCAUAAGCGCACAGUACCGCAUGGUACAGUGUGAAAAGCUCCGGCGGUAUGAGAUGGACCCGCGUUAGAUUAGCCAGUUGGCGGGGUAACGGCCCACCAAAGCGACGAUCUAUAGCCGGCCUGAGAGGGCGACCGGCCACAUUGGGACUGAGACACGGCCCAGACUCC